GAUGAACGCUGGCGGCGUGCCUAAUACAUGCAAGUCGAGCGAACAGACGAGGAGCUUGCUCCUCUGACGUUAGCGGCGGACGGGUGAGUAACACGUGGAUAACCUACCUAUAUUACUGGUAUAACUUCGGGAAACCGGCGCUUAUACCGGAUAAUAUAUUGAACCGCAUUGUUCAAUAGUGAAAUACGUUUUUUCUGUCUCUUAUAGAUGUAUCCGCGCCGCAUUAGCUAGUUGGUAAGGUAACGGCUUACCAAGGCGACGAUGCGUAGCCGACAGGAUAGGGGGAUCGGGGACACGGGAAGGGAGACACGGACAAGAGGACUACGGGAGGCAGCAGUAGGGAAGCUUACGCAAUGGGGGAAAGAAUGACGGAGCAACGCAGAGUGAGAGAUGAAGGUGUUGGGAUCGGAAAAAUGUGUUAUGAGGGAAGAACAAAUGUGUAAGUAAAUAUGCAGGUAGUGACGGUACCUAAUGAGAAAGUAACGGCUAACUACGUG
rnacentral:rRNA from 1 species